rnacentral:rRNA from 1 species
UACAGAGGGGGCGAGCGUUGUUCGGAAUUACUGGGCGUAAAGGCGCGUAGGCGGCCUUCUAAGUCGAACGUGAAAUCCCCGGGCUCAACCCGGGAACUGCGUCCGAUACUGGGAGGCCUUGAAUCCGGGAGAGGGAUGUGGAAUUCCAGGUGUACGCGGUGAAAUGCGUAGAUAUCUGGAGGAACACCGGUGGCGAAGGCGGCAG